CCCCUUGCUAACAGGUUUCUAUGACAGCACCAUCCCCGCCUCGAAGCUGGGGCCAGGUGACAGUGGGGGGGCUCCCCUCGACUCAUAAACGCCUGAUUCAUAUGUAACCACUGCACUGUGCCCUCUUCUAAGGCCUCCCCUCUGCCACCCUCAGUACCGCUCACAGCCCUGAUCAUAAUGCCACAGGAACGGUAAACAAGAAUUAAGGCUUAAAAAAGCAAGGACCAAGCAAACCUAUGGACAUAGACAAGAAGGAACAGAAAAGCCCACAAGGAAGGGAAUCAUGAUCAAGCUCAGAUCCUUGCAUUUGCAAGGCAGGAAGGAGGGAGAAGCUGCCACACAGAAGAAUUGGUUCAGUGGCUGCAUCUCCGACAGCUGGAUGCUCCCCGGCUAUCUCGGAGACCGUGCAAGCAUCCUAGUAAGAUAAACUGGAAGCCAAACAGCCACUGAGCUCACCAAGUUGCUGGGUUCAGAUCGUGUAGAAAAUGAUCAGCAAGACCAGUC
rnacentral:lncRNA from 1 species